rnacentral:rRNA from 1 species
UACAGAGGUCUCAAGCGUUGUUCGGAUUCAUUGGGCGUAAAGGGGUGCGUAGGCGGCGCGGUAAGUCGGGUGUGAAAUCUUGGAGCUUAACUCCGAAACUGCAUUCGAUACUGCCGUGCUUGAGGACUGGAGAGGAGACUGGAAUUUACGGUGUAGCGGUGAAAUGCGUAGAUAUCGUAAGGAAGACCGGUGGCGAAGGCGGGUCUCUGG